rnacentral:rRNA from 1 species
AAAGGUAAGCUACUAAGAGCGAAUGGUGGAUGCCUUGACUGGUAAAGGCGAUGAAGGACGUACUAGACUGCGAUAAGCUACGGGGAGCUGUCAAGAAGCUUUGAUCCGUAGAUUUCCGAAUGGGGCAACCCAAUGUAUAGAGAUAUACAUUACCUAUAUAGGAGCGAACGAGGGGAAUUGAAACAUCUUAGUACCCUCAGGAAAAGAAAUCAAUAGAGAUUGCGUCAGUAGCGGCGAGCGAAAGCGCAAGAGGGCAAACCCAGUGCUUGCACUGGGGGUUGUAGGACUGCAAUGUGCAAGAGGUAAGUUUAGCAGAACAUUCUGGAAAGUAUAACCAUAGAGGGUGAUAGUCCCGUAUGCGAAAAACAAACCUUAGCUAGCAGUAUCCUGAGUAGGGCGGGACACGAGGAAUCCUGUCUGAAUCCGGGUCGACCAC